rnacentral:rRNA from 1 species
AUUGAACGCUGGCGGCAUGCUUUACACAUGCAAGUCGCACGAGUGUCGAACGGGUGAGUAACGCAUCGGAACGUACCGUGUCAUGGGGGAUCACUAUCCGACAGGACAGCUAAUAACGCAUAUUAUUCGAGCGGCCGAUGUCUGAUUAGCUGGUUGGCGGGUGAAAGGCACACCAAGGCGACGAUCAGUAGCGGGUCUGAGAGGAUGUUCCGCCACACUGGGACUGAGACACGGCCCAGACUCCUACGGGAGGCAGCAGUGGGGAAUGUUGGACAAUGGGCGCAAGCCUGAGCCAGCCAUGCCGCGUGUCUGAAGAAGGCCUUCGGGUUGUAAAGGACUUUUGUCAGGGAAGCGGUACCUGAAGAAGAAGCACCGGCUAACUACGUGCCAGCAGCCGCGGUAAUAC